GCUCAGGACGAACGCUGGCGGCGUGCCUAAUACAUGCAAGUCGAACGCUUCUUUCCUCCCGAGUGCUUGCACUCAAUUGGAAAGAGGAGUGGCGGACGGGUGAGUAACACGUGGGUAACCUACCCAUCAGAGGGGGAUAACACUUGGAAACAGGUGCUAAUACCGCAUAACAGUUUAUGCCGCAUGGCAUAAGAGUGAAAGGCGCUUUCGGGUGUCGCUGAUGGAUGGACCCGCGGUGCAUUAGCUAGUUGGUGAGGUAACGGCUCACCAAGGCCACGAUGCAUAGCCGACCUGAGAGGGUGAUCGGCCACACUGGGACUGAGACACGGCCCAGACUCCUACGGGAGGCAGCAGUAGGGAAUCUUCGGCAAUGGACGAAAGUCUGACCGAGCAACGCCGCGUGAGUGAAGAAGGUUUUCGGAUCGUAAAACUCUGUUGUUAGAGAAGAACAAGGACGUUAGUAACUGAACGUCCCCUGACGGUAUCUAACCAGAAAGCCACGGCUAACUACGUGCCAGCAGCCGCGGUAAUACGUAGGUGGCAAGCGUUGUCCGGAUUUAUUGGGCGUAAAGCGAGCGCAGGCGGUUUCUUAAGUCUGAUGUGAAAGCCCCCGGCUCAACCGGGGAGGGUCAUUGGAAACUGGGAGACUUGAGUGCAGAAGAGGAGAGUGGAAUUCCAUGUGUAGCGGUGAAAUGCGUAGAUAUAUGGAGGAACACCAGUGGCGAAGGCGGCUCUCUGGUCUGUAACUGACGCUGAGGCUCGAAAGCGUGGGGAGCAAACAGGAUUAGAUAC
rnacentral:rRNA from 1 species